CAGUAGCCGCGGUAAUACGAAGGGUGCAAGCGUUAAUCGGAAUUACUGGGCGUAAAGCGUGCGCAGGCGGUUUGUUAAGACAGAUGUGAAAUCCCCGGGCUCAACCUGGGAACUGCAUUUGUGACUGGCAAGCUAGAGUGUGGCAGAGGGGGGUGGAAUUCCGCGUGUAGCAGUGAAAUGCGUAGAUAUGCGGAGGAACACCGAUGGCGAAGGCAGCCCCCUGGGCCAACACUGACGCUGAGGCACGAAGGCGUGGGGAGCAAACAGGAUUAGAUACCCCUGUAGUCCCUGUCUCUUAUAC
rnacentral:rRNA from 1 species